GUCGCCUUUGCUGCACUUGCACUUGCAGCAGAGGACGAUGGGAGUGGCCAGGAGAAGGAAGGGGGAGGCAACGAGCAGGAGCAGGCCGAAGCCAGCGAAGAUCCCGACCACCUGCAGGGAGACAUCCGGGGGAAAUAAGGGGGAACCAGAGCGGUGCUCACGUCCAGGAUGGCCUACAGUUACUUUCCCUUCAGUGCUGUUUUGAGGAAGGAGGUAAUGGGCAGGUUGUUUUCCUGGCAGGCCUGCCCGGGGUGCCAGUUGGCCUUGCAGGCUGAGCAGAACUCGAGGGCACAGACGGCGCACUGGACCAGCUGGGGCAGCGCCGGAGAAUCUGCCUCCUUCA